rnacentral:rRNA from 1 species
CCUACGGGUGGCUGCAGUGGGGAAUAUUGGACAAUGGGGGGAACCCUGAUCCAGCCAUGCCGCGUGUGUGAAGAAGGCCCUCGGGUUGUAAAGCACUUUCAGUGAGGAAGAACGCCUGGUGGUUAAUACCCAUCAGGAAAGACAUCACUCACAGAAGAAGCACCGGCUAACUCCGUGCCAGCAGCCGCGGUAAUACGGAGGGUGCGAGCGUUAAUCGGAAUUACUGGGCGUAAAGCGCGCGUAGGUGGCUUGAUAAGCCGGUUGUGAAAGCCCCGGGCUCAACCUGGGAACGGCAUCCGGAACUGUCAAGCUAGAGUGCAGGAGAGGAAGGUAGAAUUCCCGGUGUAGCGGUGAAAUGCGUAGAGAUCGGGAGGAAUACCAGUGGCGAAGGCGGACUUCUGGACUGACACUGACACUGAGGUGCGAAAGCGUGGGUAGCAAACAGGAUUAGAUACCCGUGUAGUC